AGUGGAGCCAGUGGGGCAGGCGCAGUGCCCCCCGCCCCGGGGGCAGCCCCGCCGGCACACAACGCGGCGCGGGCCCGGCGGUUCCGACCGCUGUCUAUAGCGCCCUAGCUCAGAUCUGACGAGCAAGUGUGACGGCGAAACAUACGUACCUCAAUGUGUAAUAUGUAACUAUACAUAUGUUACACCUGACUAUAUCCAUACUUUUCCUUUACUAUUUGUGUACAGUGUACAAAUGACGUCACGAUUUACACAACGUUUGACAUAAUAUAUAUGUCAAAGCGAAAAUGUCAUGUCAAAGUGGAAAUUUUUGACAUAAAUGUCAUGGCGUCUGAUUAUGCCGGUGUUAGACGCGUUUUCUUUCUGAAUGUAAAAUUUCUUGAUGGUGGCUUAAAAAGCUGAAGAAUUUUAUACACUAAUGAAGGAAAUGCAUUUAUGAUUAAAGAAUAAUAAUUUGGUUGUGAAUACAAAUUGGUGGUCUUUAGUUAAUGACGGUUAACGGUAGUGCACAAAUGAGUAGAUGUUAUUUUGAAAUCACAUAUAUUUUAUAUAAUUAUUUAAUUUGGAAGACCUCAUGGGAUAAUACUUUUUCGCUUUUUUUACGAGUUUUGGAUUCGGUUUAUAAAGUGAUUUUAGUUGAUAUUGUGUCGUGACGUCAUUUGACAUUAAUCUCAGUAAUAUUUUUGGUAAAAUUUUAAUUUAAUAUUAAAUGAAUUGCUAUUGAGAGGCUUUUUUUUCGGGAAUUCUAAAAUGUUUAAGAUAUUUAUUUUUCUAUAUUAUGUAAUGUUUAGAUUCUAUGCAAUUUUUAAAUCUUUAUUUGAGUAACAUAAGAACGGAUGUAGCUUGAUAAAUUAAGAAUUUGUAGUUACUUGAAAUAAUGAAUACAAUAAAUUAUUUUACUAAAGCAAAAAUUCCAUCUUUUUUGGCACAACGUGACAUUUAUCUUUCUUAUAGUGUUUCAAGUAACAAUAAAUUCUGUGUCUAAAUUUAAACUCCCAGAAGCUAACUCUUAAGGCUACACCAUUGCUAAGAGUUACAUAGAUCCUUGAAAGUGACAUGUUUGAAAAAUAUUGAAAUGUUUUCAAUACGUAUACUAUUACCUCGAUUUGACAGAUAAUAAAAAAAUUUCAACUUUUUUAAAAUGUAAACAAAAGAUGAUUAGUGCUCUGAUUUUUUUAAAUAUUUUAUCUAUAAUAACUGUAUUAAACCCUUUAAAAUGUUUAGGUUACAUGAUUAGUAAAACUGCAGUGCAAGACGGAAAAUUGUGCAAAAUGGAGGACAAAUUUGAUUUGACAGAUUUGAUUGUCUUAGUGCAUUUAUGUGUGUCAAUAAAUUCAAUAUAGUUUACUAUACGAUGGUUUACAUUGUUUCAAAUCGAUUCAUACUCUUUGACAUUAUUUGACAUUGGUUAAUCCGUGGUGUCAAAUCGAUUCAUACCGUUUGACAUUAUUUGACAUAAUCUCAGACACUUUGACAUGUAAUUUUAAAACCUAGAUCUCUUAGAUAGGACAUUCGCCUUCGCUAUCGUUAGGUAAGAACUGUUGAUCGGUUUGUGAGCUUCGUUUAAUAAUAAAUAAAAAUUAUUAAAAUGUAAAAAAUAUUACGAUUUUUUCGGUGCAUAUUGUAUCGGCGAGUUUUUGAACGUUUCUCAAUCCCAUGUGCUAAAAAUAUCAAUUAUGAGCCAAAUAAACUUAUUAAUCAUUUUUUAUGGCGUAAAACAGUUUCUGUAACUACUA